rnacentral:rRNA from 1 species
AUACGUAGGUGACAAGCGUUAUCCGGAAUUAUUGGGCGUAAAGGGCAUGUAGGCGGUCUUGCAAGUCUGGUGUGAAAUUCCGUGGCUCAACCACGGAACUGCGUUGGAAACUGCAUGACUGGAGUCGCUGAGGGGCAGGCAGAAUUCCUGGUGUAGGGGUGAAAUCUGUAGAUAUCAGGAAGAAUACCAAUGGCGAAGGCAGCCUGCCAGCAGAUGACUGACGCUGAGGUGCGAAGGUGCGGGGAGCAAACAGGAUUAGAUACCCUGGUAGUCCGCACAGUCAACUAUGUGCACUGGAUGUCCGGACAGAAGUCUGGGUGUCGAAGCAAACGCGAUAAGUGCACCGCCUGGGGAGUAUGCCCGCAAGGGUGAAACUCAAAUGAAUUGACGGGG